AAUUCGACAGGUACAAGUGGUCACAAUUUUUUCUUCUAAAUUGUUGGGAACCAUCAUUCUAAUGGUUGAGUAUCUAGCUUUAGAGUCAAAUCCUUGUCUGAUUUAAUGCUUACGUUAUAAAUAUUUGAUAUUUCAGGUAAAGUGACUCGGUCACCAGCUCGAUUAUCCUCUAUGUAUUCUGUGUAGUGCAGUUGUUGGUUUGAUAUCCACAUGAACAUUGAUAAAUUCCCUCUGGUGAAAUAUCCUGUGCUGGUAAUAUAUGGUUAUGUGAACAAUUUGAUGCAAGGGAGAAGUAACAGCAGUCAAUGGGAGAGUUUGUGUAAAUUGUUCAGCAGCAUUGGGAGUCAU